UUAAGUUAGAAAGGGCGCACGGUGGAUGCCUUGACACUAGGAGUCGAUGAAGGACGGGACUAACGCCGAUAUGCUUCGGGGAGCUGUAAGUAAGCUUUGAUCCGAAGAUUUCCGAAUGGGGAAACCCACCAUACGUAAUGGUAUGGUAUCCUUAUCUGAAUACAUAGGGUAAGGAAGACAGACCCAGGGAACUGAAACAUCUAAGUACCUGGAGGAAGAGAAAGCAAAUGCGAUUUCCUGAGUAGCGGCGAGCGAAACGGAACAUAGCCCAAACCAAGAGGCUUGCCUCUUGGGGUUGUAGGACAUUCUAUACGGAGUUACAAAGGAACGAGGUAGACGAAGCGACCUGGAAAGGUCCGUCGUAGAGGGUAACAACCCCGUAGUCGAAACUUCGUUCUCUCUUGAAUGUAUCCUGAGUACGGCGGAACACGUGAAAUUCCGUCGGAAUCUGGGAGGACCAUCUCCCAAGGCUAAAUACUCCCUAGUGAUCGAUAGUGAACCAGUACCGUGAGAGAAAGGUGAAAAGCACCCCGGAAGGGGAGUGAAAGAGAUCCUGAAACCGUGUGCCUACAAAUAGUCAGAGCCCGUUAACGGGUGAUGGCGUGCCUUUUGUAGAAUGAACCGGCGAGUUACGAUCCCGUGCGAGGUUAAGCUGAAGAGGCGGAGCCGCAGCGAAAGCGAGUCUGAAUAGGGCGUUUAGUACGUGGUCGUAGACCCGAAACCAGGUGAUCUACCCAUGUCCAGGGUGAAGUUCAGGUAACACUGAAUGGAGGCCCGAACCCACGCACGUUGAAAAGUGCGGGGAUGAGGUGUGGGUAGCGGAGAAAUUCCAAUCGAACCUGGAGAUAGCUGGUUCUCCCCGAAAUAGCUUUAGGGCUAGCCUUAAGUGUAAGAGUCUUGGAGGUAGAGCACUGAUUGGACUAGGGGUCCUCAUCGGAUUACCGAAUUCAGUCAAACUCCGAAUGCCAAUGACUUAUCCUUAGGAGUCAGACUGCGAGUGAUAAGAUCCGUAGUCAAAAGGGAAACAGCCCAGACCGCCAGCUAAGGUCCCAAAGUGUGUAUUAAGUGGAAAAGGAUGUGGAGUUGCUUAGACAACUAGGAUGUUGGCUUAGAAGCAGCCACCAUUUAAAGAGUGCGUAAUAGCUCACUAGUCGAGUGACUCUGCGCCGAAAAUGUACCGGGGCUAAAUACACCACCGAAGCUGCGGAUUGAUACCAAUGGUAUCAGUGGUAGGGGAGCGUUCUAAGGACAGUGAAGUCAGACCGGAAGGACUGGUGGAGUGCUUAGAAGUGAGAAUGCCGGUAUGAGUAGCGAAAGACGGGUGAGAAUCCCGUCCACCGAAUGCCUAAGGUUUCCUGAGGAAGGCUCGUCCGCUCAGGGUUAGUCAGGACCUAAGCCGAGGCCGACAGGCGUAGGCGAUGGACAACAGGUUGAUAUUCCUGUACCACCUCUUUAUCGUUUGAGCAAUGGAGGGACGCAGAAGGAUAGAAGAAGCGUGCGAUUGGUUGUGCACGUCCAAGCAGUUAGGCUGAUAAGUAGGCAAAUCCGCUUAUCGUGAAGGCUGAGCUGUGAUGGGGAAGCUCCUUAUGGAGCGAAGUCUUUGAUUCCCCGCUGCCAAGAAAAGCUUCUAGCGAGAUAAAAGGUGCCUGUACCGCAAACCGACACAGGUAGGCGAGGAGAGAAUCCUAAGGUGUGCGAGAGAACUCUGGUUAAGGAACUCGGCAAAAUGACCCCGUAACUUCGGGAGAAGGGGUGCUUUCUUAACGGAAAGCCGCAGUGAAUAGGCCCAAGCGACUGUUUAGCAAAAACACAGCUCUCUGCGAAGCCGUAAGGCGAAGUAUAGGGGGUGACACCUGCCCGGUGCUGGAAGGUUAAGGAGAGGGGUUAGCGUAAGCGAAGCUCUGAACUGAAGCCCCAGUAAACGGCGGCCGUAACUAUAACGGUCCUAAGGUAGCGAAAUUCCUUGUCGGGUAAGUUCCGACCCGCACGAAAGGUGUAACGAUUUGGGCACUGUCUCAACCAGAGACUCGGUGAAAUUAUAGUACCUGUGAAGAUGCAGGUUACCCGCGACAGGACGGAAAGACCCCGUGGAGCUUUACUGUAGCCUGAUAUUGAAUUUUGGUACAGUUUGUACAGGAUAGGCGGGAGCCUUUGAAACCGGAGCGCUAGCUUCGGUGGAGGCGCUGGUGGGAUACCGCCCUGACUGUAUUGAAAUUCUAACCUACGGGUCUUAUCGACCCGGGAGACAGUGUCAGGUGGGCAGUUUGACUGGGGCGGUCGCCUCCUAAAGUGUAACGGAGGCGCCCAAAGGUUCCCUCAGAAUGGUUGGAAAUCAUUCGUAGAGUGCAAAGGCAUAAGGGAGCUUGACUGCGAGACCUACAAGUCGAGCAGGGACGAAAGUCGGGCUUAGUGAUCCGGUGGUUCCGCAUGGAAGGGCCAUCGCUCAACGGAUAAAAGCUACCCCGGGGAUAACAGGCUUAUCUCCCCCAAGAGUCCACAUCGACGGGGAGGUUUGGCACCUCGAUGUCGGCUCAUCGCAUCCUGGGGCUGUAGUCGGUCCCAAGGGUUGGGCUGUUCGCCCAUUAAAGCGGUACGCGAGCUGGGUUCAGAACGUCGUGAGACAGUUCGGUCCCUAUCCGUCGUGGGCGUAGGAAAUUUGAGAGGAGCUGUCCUUAGUACGAGAGGACCGGGAUGGACGCACCGCUGGUGUACCAGUUGUUCUGCCAAGGGCAUAGCUGGGUAGCUAUGUGCGGAAGGGAUAAGUGCUGAAAGCAUCUAAGCAUGAAGCCCCCUCAAGAUGAGAUUUCCCAUAGCGUAAGCUAGUAAGAUCCCUGAAAGAUGAUCAGGUUGAUAGGUUCGAGGUGGAAGCAUGGUGACAUGUGGAGCUGACGAAUACUAAUAGAUCGAGGACUUAACCAU
rnacentral:rRNA from 1 species